rnacentral:lncRNA from 10 species
ACCACGCCCGGCCCACCUUGUUACUUUUUAAGAACUAAAAUUCGAUACUUAUUUGUGAAUGAAAUAAUCUCUUCAUUGUAUUUUUUUUUUUUACUUAUGCUGAGCUUUAAAUGACAAAGAUUCAUAUAAUCCAAGAGAGAAGUAUUAUUUAGAGGGAUUCUUUUACCAUGUGAUAUAUAAUAAAUGCAUCCAAUGUUAUACAUCAAUUUAAAAAACAAGUAAAUAACUAAAGAAAAGAUAACUACUGGCCAGGUGCAGUGGCUCACACCUGUAUUCCCAGCACUUUGGGAGGCCGAGGCAGGUGGAUCAUGAGGUCAGGAGUUGGAGACCAGCCUGGCCAAGAUGGUGAAACCCUGUUUCUACUAAAAAGACAAAAAUUAGCCGAGCGUGGUGGCAGGCGCCUGUAAUCCCAGUUACUCACCUCCCGAGUAGCUGGGACUACAGGCGCCCGCCACUACGCCCGGCUAAUUUUUUGUAUUUUUAGUAGAGACGGGGUUUCACCGUGUUAGCCAGGAUGGUCUCGAUCUCCUGACCUCCUGAUCCGCCCACCUCGGCCUCCCAAAUGCUGGGAUUGCAGGCGUGAGCCACCACGCCCGGCCCACCUUGUUAAUUUUUAAGCACUAAAAUUCGAUACUUAUUUGUGAAUGAAGUAAUCUCUUCAUUGUAUUUUUUUUUUUUUUUACUUAUGCUGAGCUUUAAAUGACAAAGAUUCAUAUAAUCCAAGAGAGAAGUAUUAUUUAGAGGGAUUCUUUUACCAUGUGAUAUAUAAUAAAUGCAUCCAAUGUUAUACAUCAAUUUAAAAAACAAGUAAAUAACUAAAG